GAAAGACAAAAAAGAAGAAAAGAAAGAGACGAAAGGAAGGAAAAAAAUAGACAAAGAAACGAGAGAAAGAAAGACAAAAAAGAAGAAAAGAAAGAGAUGAAAGGAAGGAAAAAAAUAGUGAAAGUUUAAAGGGUCUUUGAUAGUAGAAAUGGAUAGUAAGGUAUUAAAGUUAAGGAAACAAUGAAAUUCAGAAAUAGCCUUUGGAGAGUCUUGGAUACGGGGCUGCGGAAUACACACACAGCACUUUUAUUGAUAUUUUUCUAUGUAAAUAUCGGCCUUUUUGGUCAAUAAAUUUUAUAAUAAAAAUAGAAAUUCCAGUGAUUAUUUUGAUA